rnacentral:rRNA from 1 species
GAUAUGGCUCAGGAUGAACGCUGGCGGCGUGCCUAACACAUGCAAGUCGAGCGAUUCUCUUCGGAGAAGAGCGGCGGACGGGUGAGUAACGCGUGGGUAACCUGCCCUGUACACACGGAUAACAUACCGAAAGGUAUGCUAAUACGGGAUAACAUAAGAAAUUCGCAUGUUUUUCUUAUCAAAGCUCCGGCGGUACAGGAUGGACCCGCGUCUGAUUAGCUAGUUGGUGAGGUAAUGGCU